AUCACCUCUCAACCUUUUGGCUAAGAUCAAGUGUUGUAUCUAUAAUACCUAGUUUGAUAUCUGCUAUGUCCUCUAUCCAAGAGCAAUACAUUAAAUGGGUGUUUGGAGACAGGAGAUGGAAUAGGAGCUUGCUCUCUCCACUCCACACAAUGACUUAUAUUGCAGUACCUCCAAGAACAGUAGCCCCU
ensembl:snRNA U2 U2 spliceosomal RNA